UACGUAGGGGCCUAGCGUUGUCCGGAUUUAUUGGGCGUAAAGGGCUCGUAGGCGGUUUGUCGCGUCGGGAGUGAAAUCCACUGGCUUAACUGGUGGCUUGCUUUCGAUACGGGCAGACUGGAGGUAUGCAGGGGAGAACGGAAUUCCUGGUGUAGCGGUGAAAUGCGCAGAUAUCAGGAGGAGCACCGGUGGCGAAGGCGGUUCUCUGGGCAUGUCCUGACGCUGAGGAGCGAAAGUGUGGGGAGCGAACAGG
rnacentral:rRNA from 1 species